GGCCUUUCGCGUUGCGCGGGAGGCAGGCGGGAGUGAGGGGAGAGGCUGUCCCUCAGCCCCGCAGUCUCCGGGAACCUGCCUCGACUCCUGCGGGGCGCCCUGCAGCCGCGCUCCUGCAGACCCGGCGGAGGGGCCGCCGCCUCCCAUGCGCCGGAGGUCGUGCGGCUGUCAGUCCUCUCGCCCCCGCCGCACGGAGAGCGCCUUGUCGUGGGGCGACCGGACGGGACGUGCCCCGCGAGGGACGCCGGCGCGGAGCGGCGCGCUGAGGUGGAGUGAGGCGAGGCGAGGCAAGGCCCGGCCGCCCCGUGGAGACAGCGCCCUGAGGAGGGAGCCCCGCGCCAGGACUUGUGUGUGAUUGGCAUUGUGCUGUACUGCAGUGAAGAGGUAUUUUUCACUUCAAGAGACCUUGCAUUAAAGGAUCAUGGUAGACAGUUUAAUAGUUUCUUUGAGACUUCUCAGUUCACUAGCAGUGCUGGGAUUUCAGUUUGUCAUCCCACAGCCUUCAAUUGAACACAGAAAG
rnacentral:lncRNA from 1 species